GAAAUGCGAUAAGUAAUGUGAAUUGCAGAAUUCAGUGAAUCAUCGAAUCUUUGAACGCACAUUGCGCCCGCCAGUAUUCUGGCGGGCAUGCCUGUUCGAGCGUCAUUUCAACCAUCAAGCCCCGCGCUUGUGUUGGGGACCUGCGGCUGCCGCAGGCCCUGAAAACCAGUGGCGGGCUCGCUGUCACACCGGGCGUAGUAGAUUUUAUCUCGCUCAGGGCGUGCUGCGGGUUCCGGCCGUUAAAAGCCUUUUUUACCCAAGGUUGACCUCGGAUCAGGUAGGAAGACCCGCUGAACUUAAGC
rnacentral:misc_RNA from 1 species